UCGAGAAUCUUCGGCAAUGAGCGCAAGCUUGACCGAGCGAUGCCGCGUGCGGGAUGAAGGCCCUCGGGUUGUAAACCGCUGUCGUAGGGGAAUAAUGGUCAGAGGGUACUCUCUCUGAUUUGAAUGAUCCUAGGAGGAAGGACGGGCUAAGUUCGUGCCAGCAGCCGCGGUAAGACGAACCGUCCAAACGUUAUUCGGAAUCACUGGGCUUACAGAGUUCGUAGGCGGUCUGGAAAGUUGGGUGUGAAAUCCCUCGGCCUAACCGAGGAACUGCGCUUGAAACUACCAGACUCGAGGGGGAUAGAGGAAAGCGGAACUGAUGGUGGAGCGGUGAAAUGCGUUGAUAUCAUCAGGAACACCGGUGGCGAAGGCGGCUUUCUGGGUCUUACCUGACGCUGAGGAACGAAAGCCAGGGGAGCGAACGG
rnacentral:rRNA from 1 species